GGUGAGACCCGGCAGGGCUCCAUAAUACCCUGUAUGAAAACCAAAAAGCUAGCAGAUGGCAGCAAGGAUGGCUGCAGGAAUGAGAUGAAGUGUAAUACAGAAAGCAUCGAAAAAUUAAAAGUAGGAUCGCUCAGUAGCUGCACCAGGCCAAGAAACCAGGGCAAAACGUGUUGUGAAGGUACCCGCCAUCUCCACGGCGCAGCCUCCACAGUGCACGUGACUGGAUGGGUCACAGCGCCGGAAGCCACGCUACACCUCCUUCGGUCUCGAACACAGCCCGACUUUGGGGAAGCCAGGCAGCCACAGAAAGAGGAAACAGGCACAGGAGGCCGCGUCCCUAAGUGGGGAGGGAAGUAAUGACCGCAGACAGUCCAGACCCGCGUUUAGAAAUUUGCCCCACAGCCCACAGGACAAGGAAAUCACAAGAGAGUUUGGUACAAGCCCCCUAACCAAACUUCCGGCGCAAGAAAAUGACGUAAGCGACCCGCCAACCAAUCUGGAACUACCCCGCCCCCUGCCCCGGUGUAAUGACUCUAAAAUUUGCGAGAUUCAUCGGGAAGCUGGAGAAGAAUGAGCCAAUCACAACGCUGCUUCUUCCAGGCCGCAGUGAUUGGUUUGAUGACUCACAUGACAGUAGAAGACCGCACGUGAUCGCGUCCCUGGCUACACGUGACUCAUCCGGCAAGCUACAGAAGUGGUCUCUGGACAGCGACUAUCAGACCCGCUAGAAACUGAAUGCUGGCUCCACGGCUGCAGCGGGGAUACAAGAACUUGAAAACGUGUGCUAGUGCCCUCCAGGCUCAUAGCUACGCCUGUUACACGAAAGCCAGGAAGUAAAGGAAGCAGCAUGGAAAUUGACCCACCCACAGAGAGAGCUCCCUCCUACAUACAGUGGUUCUGGGAUCUUGAGAAGGGGUGUCAGCCCCCAGCUCUCUAUCCAAAUGAGUCAACAGGCCCUGAUGACUUCUCUUAUCCACUGCUUCCUGCCCAAGAUACUGGUAACCCUAGAAGGUAGGCCUGGUGUUGGGAGUGCUCUGUCGGAAACAUGGACACACUUCUCUUUCCACAGUGUUAGAAUUUCUUGAAUAAUAAACUGGCAGUUUACAUCC